UACGUAGGGGGCAAGCGUUAUCCGGAAUUACUGGGUGUAAAGGGAGCGUAGACGGCGAUGCAAGUCUGAAGUGAAAGCCCGGGGCUCAACCCCGGGACUGCUUUGGAAACUGUAUGGCUGGAGUGCUGGAGAGGCAAGCGGAAUUCCUAGUGUAGCGGUGAAAUGCGUAGAUAUUAGGAAGAACACCAGUGGCGAGGGCGGCUUGCUGGACAGUAACUGACGUUGAGGCUCGAAAGCGUGGGGAGCAAACAGG
rnacentral:rRNA from 1 species